CGCCCCAGUCUGGCCACCAGCGCUGGGCGAACCCGGCUGGGGUGUCACUCGACGCCCACUAGGGGCCGAGGAACUUCCAGUGCGCAGGCUCCGGGCACCGGAUAAAAGCGGAGCUGGCGGGUCCAGCGCCGUCUCGAUGGAGGAGCGAAACUGAAGAGUUCGGGGGGAGAAGCAACAGAAAACAUGCAGUCACUGCCAGCGCCGCCUCCCUGCCACCGUGUAUCGGGGGCCAAGAGGAGUCAAAGCAGUCUGCUGGAGGAUGCUGCCAUUUUACCCUGCACCAGCUCCUCAGCCCUAUCAGCCCGAACUCGAACUCUACUAAUGUACCAAUCAGCAUUUCCUGGUUUUAUCUAAUCUCUUCUAUUUGCUCCACCCUCUGAGAAGGAAAUAGGAAAACAGAUUUGCAGAAGUUGGUAAAAUCUAGUGUCAGAAGGCAGGGUUCCAUUUCUAGAUCCAAGAAAAACUUCCUGUUUUGUUAAGACUUUUCUUAAGAGCGGAAACUAGCUCUCUCAAAUGAAAACCACAAUUAAUAAUUCGCUAAUGUGUACUGUGUAUUUAGCAAGCCUAAAAUACAAGAGGGGAUUGGUGAAGAGAAACCAUCAGCUGAACGCCCCCAACUGAGCAGAGUUCCUCCUCACUUCCCCACCACCACUGCCUGAAGGAACAGGGACAACUAGGGGAGUAGAAAAGCAUUUGGGACAACCUGGCAAAGUAACCCAGCAAAGCCUCAGUGGUCACUCAAGGACUGUGUUACUCAGAUUGCUCAUCCUUUAUCCAGAUGGAAUUAAGUUUUUACAAAACAAAACAGAAAAGCCGCUGUGUUGGCCUACAAAUUAACCCCAGGAUUGGUUCAACACAUGAAGUUUAUGUCUUGCUUUCCUUAUGUAACCAAUACAGCUGGUGGUGGAGUAGGAAGUAGAGACAAGAGGAUUCUAUUCAAGAGCCCUGGAUGACAGACAUUUGGAGCUGUAUUACUAGAGCUUAAGACCUCCACCAUCCUGGCAAUAGAAGAAGAAAAUACAUGGAGAAUUCACACCUGCACUUCUGUGCUUCAGCCUGGAAGUGACAGUUUCUCAGUGGUUAUAAAAACAAACAGGGGGCUGGAUAGAUGGGAAAGCAUAUAAAUAUUUGGUAAGUAAUAAAUACCUCUUCCCUAGCAUCCUUUGGGGGUUGGGGAAAGUGCAAACUGGGGAUUGAACCCAGGAGCUUUCUACCACUGGGCUAUAGCUCCAGCCCUUUUUGAGACAGGGUCUCACUAGGUUGCCUAGCUUGUCCCCAAAUUUGUGAUCCUCCUGCUUCGGCCUCUGGAGUUGCUGGAGUUUCAGAUGUGCACCACUAUGUC
rnacentral:lncRNA from 1 species